UUAGAGUUUGAUCCUGGCUCAGGAUGAACCUUAUCGGGAGGCUUAACACAUGCAAGUCGAGGGGUAACAGAGGUAGCAAUACUUGCUGACGACCGGCGUACGGGUGAGUAACGCGUAUGCAACCUGCCCUAUACAGGAGGAUAGCCCGAAGAAAUUCGGAUUAAUACUCCAUGCAGCAUAUUUUUCGCAUGAUAAAUAUGUUAAAGAUUUAUCGGUAUAGGAUGGGCAUGCGUCCCAUUAGUUAGUUGGUGAGGUAAUGGCUCACCAAGGCUUCGAUGGGUAUGGGGUCUAAAAGGAUGGUCCCACACACUGGCACUGAGACACGGGCCAGACUCCUACGGGAGGCAGCAGUGAGGAAUAUUGGUCAAUGGGCGAGAGCCUGAACCAGCCAUCCCGCGUGCAGGAUGACAGUCCUAGUGAUUGUAAACUGCUUUUCUAUAAGAUGAAUAAGGACUACGUGUAGUUCGAUGACCGUAUUAUAGGAAUAAGCAUCGGCUAACUCCGUGCCAGCAGCCGCGGUAAUACGGAGGAUGCAAGCGUUAUCCGGAUUUAUUAGGUUUAAAGGGUGCGUAGGUGGGCGUUUAAGUCAGUGGUUAAAGCCAAUAGCUUAACUAUUGUAUGCCAUUGAAACUGGAUGUCUUGAAUAGGGUAGAGGUAGGCGGAAUGUGUUGUGUAGCGGUGAAAUGCUUAGAUAUAACACAGAACACCGAUUGCGAAGGCAGCUUACUAUGCCUUUAUUGACACUGAUGCACGAAAGCGUGGGGAUCAAACAGGAUUAGAUACCCUGGUAGUCCACGCUGUAAAC
rnacentral:rRNA from 1 species